CAGAUCCUGUGCAGAAGCCCACAGUGACGAGGACAUGUUCACCUGAUAAGACAAAAGUCACUUUUACUUGCAAUGUUGGUCAGAGUGAAAAAAAAAAUCCGAUCAAAUGGUUUAUGGUUGAUAAAAAGACGGCAGAAAAAGAGAUUGUCAAGGACCUGACAAGACCAGUCAAAGAUGUGCUGAAUGCUCGUUUCUUUUGCAAUGUUUCUAACCACGUCAGCUCUGAGACCAGUCAGCCUGUUCAACAAGACUGCAAGUCCUCUUUUCCUUUUCCUGACACACUAUUUGGAAUUAGCAUCUGGGUUUUUGUGGGUGGUGGAGCAGGUAUUGUUCUGGUGCUGAUCCUAAUUGUCAUCAUUUGUUGCAUCCGGACCAAACGGAAGAGGCGUUUGCGACUAAAGGGUAAGAAUGUGCUUAUUUAAAAUAUAAGCUGCUGUGCUCACAA